AUUGAACGCUGGCGGCAUGCCUUACACAUGCAAGUCGAACGGCAGCACGGGAGCAAUCCUGGUGGCGAGUGGCGAACGGGUGAGUAAUAUAUCGGAACGUGCCCAGUCGUGGGGGAUAACGUAGCGAAAGCUACGCUAAUACCGCAUACGAUCUAUGGAUGAAAGCGGGGGACCGCAAGACCUCGCGCGAUUGGAGCGGCCGAUACCAGAUUAGGUAGUUGGUGAGGUAAAGGCUCACCAAGCCGACGAUCUGUAGCUGGUCUGAGAGGACGACCAGCCACACUGGGACUGAGACACGGCCCAGACUCCUACGGGAGGCAGCAGUGGGGAAUUUUGGACAAUGGGCGCAAGCCUGAUCCAGCAAUGCCGCGUGCAGGAUGAAGGCCUUCGGGUUGUAAACUGCUUUUGUACGGAACGAAACGGCGAGCUCUAAUACAGUUUGCUAAUGACGGUACUGUAAGAAUAAGCACCGGCUAACUACGUGCCAGCCGCCGCAGUAA
rnacentral:rRNA from 1 species